rnacentral:tRNA from 1 species
ACCUGGCUGGCUUAGUUGGUAGAGCAUGUGAUUCUUGAUCUCAGGGUUGUGAGUUUAAGCCCUACGUUAGGCA